rnacentral:rRNA from 1 species
AUUGAACGCUGGCGGCAUGCCUUACACAUGCAAGUCGAACGAGUGGCGGACGGGUGAGUAAUGUAUCGGAACGUGCCCAGUAGAGGGGGAUAACUACUCGAAAGCGUGGCUAAUACCGCAUACUAUUGGAGCGGCCGAUAUCGGAUUAGCUAGUUGGUGGGGUAAAGGCUCACCAAGGCGACGAUCCGUAGCUGGUCUGAGAGGACGACCAGCCACACUGGGACUGAGACACGGCCCAGACUCCUACGGGAGGCAGCAGUGGGGAAUAUUGGACAAUGGGGGAAACCCUGAUCCAGCCAUGCCGCGUGUAUGAGAAGGCCUUCGGGUUGUAAAGUACUUUUGGCAGAGAAGCGGUAUCUGCAGAAUAAGCACCGGCUAACUACGUGCCAGCAGCCGCGGUAAUUC